GCGCCCAUGGCCCGAUGGAUAAGGCGUCUGACUUCUAAUCAGACUGGGUUCGAAUACCACCGGGCGUG
rfam:Brassica oleracea var. oleracea cultivar TO1000 chromosome C3, whole genome shotgun sequence